rnacentral:misc_RNA from 1 species
GAUGAAGAACGUAGCGAAAUGCGAUACUUGGUGUGAAUUGCAGAAUCCCGUGAACCAUCGAGUCUUUGAACGCAAGUUGCGCCCGAAGCCAUUAGGCCGAGGGCACGCCUGCCUGGGCGUCACACGUCGUUGCCCCCCCAUCUACUCCUUCGGGAUUGCGGGGGGCGGAUGAUGGCCUCCCGUGCGCCUCGUCGCGCGGUUGGCAUAAAUGCCAAGUCCUCGGCGACGCACGCCACGACAAUCGGUGGUUGCGAAACCUCGGUUGCCCGUCGUGUGCGGUCGUCGCGCAUCGAGGGCUCGAAAAAAUUGCCGGGCUCCGGCUCGGCUUUCAACGCGACCCCAGGUCAGGCGGGGUUACCCGCUGAAUUUAAGCAUAUCCAAUAAGCGGAGGA